UACAGAGGGUGCAAGCGUUAAUCGGAAUUACUGGGCGUAAAGCGUGCGUAGCCGGUUAUGUAAGUCAGGUGUGAAAGCCCCGGGCUCAACCUGGGAAUUGCAUUUGAGACUGCAUAGCUAGGGUGCGGAAGAGGGAAGCGGAAUUCCCGGUGUAGUGGUGAAAUGCGUAGAGAUCGGGAGGAACACCAGAGGCGAAAGCGGUUAACUGGGUCUAAACUGACGCUGAGGUGCGAAGGCUAGGGGAGCAAACAGG
rnacentral:rRNA from 1 species